CUCUCUAGCCGAACUCUUUUGAUUCGUAUAUUCUUAUUAAAGCCAAUGCUCCUCUCGUGUCGAUUCUGAUCGGGUUGUAACCCAUUCAAGUCCAUCUGAUAUGCAUUUGUAUCUGAUAUGUAUCACGUUCUUGGCACGCCCCGCCUAAUAUACCGUGCCCACAUCUCAAGGCUCGUUAAGAACGGCCUCAUCGACCAAGCCAUCAACCUGUUCGACGAAAUGACUCAAUCAGAUUGCCGGGUCUUCGGCAUCGACUAUAACCGUUUCAUUGGCGUCCUCAUUCGUCAUUCCCGUUUCGACUUAGCUGAAUACUACUACUUCCAAAUGUUCCCUCAGGGUUUCUCUUUAACCCCCUUCACCUACUCUCGUUUUAUAUCCGGUUUGUGCUCCGUGAAGAACUUGAAUCUGGUUCAGCUUCUUUUGGAUGACAUGGAUAAAUUGAAUUACGUUCCUGAUAUUUGGGCUUUUAACAUCUAUUUGAAUCUUUUGUUUAGAGAGAAAAAGGUAGAGUUAGCUUUAGAUGUUUUUUGUAGCAUGGAUAAGAAAGGGAGAGACCCGGAUGUUGUAACGUAUACAAUAAUGAUCGAUGGGAUGUGUAAAGCGGGUAAGCUUGAUAAUGCGGUUGGUUUUUGGAGGGAAAUGAUUGGGAAAGGUUUUAAACCUGAUAAUAAAGCUUGUUGUGCGCUUGUCGUUUCAUUGUGCGAAGGUCGGAAGGUUGAUUUGGCGUAUGAACUUGUUAUUGAGGUGAUUAAAGGUGGAAAUAUCAAGUUUAGUUCAUUGCUCUACAAUGCACUGAUUAAUGGGUUCUGUAGAAUGAAGAGAAUCGAUAAGGCACAGGCGAUAAAGCUGUUUAUGACGAAUAAUGGGUGUGAGCCGGAUUUGGCUACAUAUAAUAUUUUGUUGAAUUAUUGUUGUAAUGAGCUUAUGUUGGAGGAGGCUGAGAAGUUGAUGAAGAAAAUGGAGAGGAGCGGGAUAGGACCUGAUGUGUAUAGUUAUAACCAGAUGAUUAAGGGUCUUUGUAAUGCUAAUAGGCUGGAUAAAGCAUACUUAUUGAUGGUGAACAAGAUGGAGGUGAAUGGGUUGGUUGAUGCUGUUUCUUAUAAUACCAUUAUCAAAGCAUUUUGCAACGGUGGUCAUGCUAGAAAAGCUUACAAGCUUUUUGAGGAAAUGGGUAGGAAGGGGAUCGCACCUGAUGUGGCGACAUUCACAACUCUUAUAAAGGCUUUUCUUAAUGAAGGUAGUUUCGGUGCAGCUCAAGAACUUAUUGAUUAUAUGUCAAGGAUGCGUCUGUUGCCUGAUCGUAUUUUCUAUACUACAAUUAUUGACCACCUAUGCAAAAGUGGGAAAGUUGAAAGGGCUUGUUGUAUUUUUGAUGACAUGAUAAUGCAGGGAGUUAAUCCUGAUGUGAUUUCAUACAAUGCCCUCAUAAAUGGGUUUUGCAAGUCUAACAGAGUAACUGAAGCUUUACAUCUAUAUGAGGAAAUGCAGACUAAAGGAUUCUCUCCAGAUGAGACAACUUACAAAUUGAUAAUUGGAGGGCUCAUAAGGGAAAAGAAUCUCUCUAUGGCUUGCAAAGUAUGGGAUCAAAUGAUGGAGAAGGGUUUUACUCUUGAUGGAUCUGUUUCUGAGACACUGAUCAAUGCUAUCCAUUCAACAGACUCUGCAUGAACAUGGUGAACGAUUUGGUAAUUGGUGUUGGGUAGCCAUAUGGAUGGAUUGUUUGGUAUAAGCUUUUCUUAUGACCCUCUAUUCUUGCCACUGUUUUGCCCUUCCUGCUGACGCUUAGAAAAUAAAUCUCAGGUUUGAGCUGUUCGCUUUCUUGAAUAUAUUUAUAGACGAACUGUAUACUAAUAUACUAGCAGAAAAAAAUUCUACUUUUUUUUUUUUACAAAUAAGAAUGCUGCUAGGAAAAAAUGGUAUGUUGGCUAUACCAUUGGGGGAAGGUCCCUAUAUUUGAAGAUCAUCAACAAGUUUCAAGUAUGACUGUAUGAGACCAUGGUUAUAUCAUCAAUAUAAGUGACAACUAUCCCAUCGUAUGGAUUUAUCUGUUCAUACUCUCAUCUAUGUGUUCAUCUCACCAUUCAAUACCUUUCUGUGCGCUUGUGUAUUGCAGGGGAAACUCUGCCAUUGCUUGAAAUUGGACUAGGUUCUUUCAGAAGCUGUGAGCUCAAAAUUUUUACCUUUGGGCAAUGGAAAAGCAGGCAGGUGUCACGUUUAUGAAUGGCUCAUCGACAUGUUGAAACCAACCCACAUUUUAUCGAAGAUCCUGACGGUACAACGCCCAAGCAACGCCAUUAUCUACUGCUACC